ACCUCCUACAAAGCAAAAAGAAUAAACAAUGUAACAGAAAAUGAGAAAAGAAUAAGAGAAAGCAACUCAGAGAAGAAAUAUGAUUAGCCAAUAAAUACACAGAAAUGUCAUCAACCUCACUAAGAUCAGACAAAGAUAAUCUAAAAAUAAGAUUUCAAUGUUUUGUUUUGUUUUGUUUUCUUUGAGGCAGGUUCUAGGUCUGUCACCCAGGCUGGAGUUCAGUGGUGCGUUCUCAGCUGACUGCAGCCUCUGCCUCUCAGGUUCAAGCGAUUCUUGUGUCCCAGCCUCCCGAGUAGCUGGAACUACAGACAUGCCACCACACCUGGCUAAUUUUUGUAUUUUUAGUAGAGAAGGGGUUUCACCAUGUUGGUCAGGUUAGUCCUGAACUUCUGACUUCAAGAAAUCUGCCCUCCUCGGCCUCCCAAAGUGCUGGGAUUACAGGUGUGAGUCACCAUGCCCAGCCAGAUACCAAUGUUUUGUCAAAAAAAGGAGAAAUAAUUCUUUUAAAAAAUAUUAAUAUCUAGUUUGGGUAAAGGUGGAAAAAAUGAGCAAAUUUCUAUAUUUUUGGUUAAGCCUUUUCAGAGAGAAUUUUUUUAAAUGACAAAGUUAUUCCACAUCUAGAAAUGUAUUUUAGAGAAAUGCAAGCACAUGUGAGCAAAAAAGACUAUGCAAAAGUAUUCAUUACAGCAAUGAUUACUUACCUAAGAAAAAAAAAAUUUAAGUCAUCUUGAUGUCUCUCACUAGAGAAUGAUUAAAUAAAUUAUGAUUCAUUCAUACAAUAUCUUACAACUGUUUUAGAAGUAUAAGGUAGAACAAAAUAUACUGACAUGUAAUGAUUUCUAUAACAUUGGGGGCACAAAGUUAUCUGCAUAUAUACAAAUAUAUAUUUAUAUUCCUUUUGUGUAAGAUAGUGACAGAGAAAGAGAGAGACACAUAAAAAAAAGACAGAGAAGUGAGGGGCAAAAGGAGGAAAGAAGAGGAAAAUGAAACAUAGUCAUGUAUUCAUACAGGAAAUAUUUAUUGAACAUCUGGAUAUACCAGUCUUUGUUCCAUGAUCAAGACAGACAGGGUCACUGCUCUUAAAGAGCUCUUCUUCUAGAAGCUGACAAUGAAAUGUAAGCAAGAACAUGAACAAAUAAAUAACUAUGUAAGGAAGUCAUCCACACAGUAAUUAUUCACACAUUAAGAAGUAUUAUAAAGAAAAUAAUAUGGAGGAUGCCAUAGAGAAUAAAGAAUGGCUGUGGCAAAUAAUAGAUCAGUCCUCAGAGAAGCCUCAUUUGAACUGAAACCUGAAUGAUGGGAAGGAGCUAACCAGAGAAGGGAAAAGAGAGUUUCCGGCACAGAGCAUGGCAUCUGCAGUCUCUGAAGCAGAAAUGAGUUUAGAGUGCUUAAUUUAGGAAAAAAGAGACAACCAAUAUGACUGGUGAAUAUCAGUACAGACAGAAUUGUGAGAGCCAAGGCCAGAGAGGUAGGCAAGGACCAGGUCACAUGGGGUCUUGAGGGUCAUAGCAAAAGGUCUGGAUUUUAUUCAUAGUGAAUGAUUAUUGGAGGGUUUCCAUCAAGUAACAAAACUUGAUUUGUGUUUAUAUGUAUUCACUUUCACCACUACAUAUAGAAUGAAUUGCAGGGGCAACAGUUGAACAGAGGGACCAUUUAAGAAUGUGUUACAGUGGCAUAGAUGACAGAGUAUGAUGGUGUGCAUUGUCAGUAAAAAUGGAGAAAGUUAAAUGAGUUUUGGAAUUCAGGAAUUAGGGUAGAUGGUGUAACAACUUAUUAAACAGAAAGACAAGGGGAGGAGCAGAUGUUGAACUUGCAGGAAUCAAAAACUCAGUUUUGGUCAUCAUAGGCUUGAGUUACUAUUAAUAAUAAAGCUAACUCUACUGUAAUACUGUGUAUGUUUUAAGCACUUGUUAUAUAUUACCUCACUUAAUCUUUAUAAAGCCCUAUGGCAUAAUACUUCUAUAGAGUUUAAAACUUUUUAAUGUUUUGUUUCUUUAAAAAAAUUGGUACUCUAUAGAUAAGAUACUCAUAAAAAUUCUACAUUAACUUAAAUACAUUUGUUUCUUAUUUUGUCACUCUAGGUGUGCACUUUUUAAAAACAUGAAUGUCAACAGUUGCAGAUAAAAUUUAGAAAAUUUUGCGAGAAAGUUGAACAUUUUGGUUUAUUAAACCUAAAAGAAAUGGAUUUUAAACAUCCCUCAUAAAUCUGAUCCCUGAUUCUGAGAGUUCAGGCUCGUUGGAGGGGGGAAAGGAGAAGAGAUUACAUCACAGUUUUUCCUCAGGUUUCUUUAUCGGCUAAGGCAGUGUGACUAUUUGUACAUCUCAUCCUCUGACACUCCAUUCCUAACAUGAAGACUAGUGAAAAGUUAAACAAAUUACUAUUUUAACUGAGUUUGAAGAAGUUUAUAGCUGUAAACUUAACUGGAUAAAAAUCUUGACAUUCUAUGGGUUUCCAGUUUUAUUCAGCUCCUAAAAGAGAACUCUUGUCAUCCUGUUUCUAUAUAUAUUUUAAUUGCACUUUGUUCUAAAGAACUACAUUCAUCCUACAGCAAAUUGGAAUGGGAUGCAUAUGUUUGCUCAUAAAACCUAUAACAGCCCUUAAAAUGUAAUCAAUUUUCUCUAAAAAGACUGAAUAUUCAUUCACAGUCCAUCAAGCCACUCCCAGGAAAAGCAGUCUAAUUUAUCUUCUCCUAAGACCUUCAUAACAACUACUUUUUUUCUGAACAGAAAGGAGGAAAAACAUUUCUUCAUUUCCCUAGUGACGUCUGGGACAAUGCUUUGUCCAAAGCACCUGACUGCAACUUUCUUCUUCUUCAAUCCAUUGACAAGUGGUUUGUAAAAGUAUUAUUCUGUAAAAUCACUAGACAAUGGACGAAUGAUGCCCUUCCAAACAACACUUCUUGAAAUUUCUAAUCAAAAUGUUCUAUCUGAAGUAGCUUGGGUCUGACAGCAAGCCCCACCAUGAAAUGCCAAUGUUUAUUCAUUCAGCGCUCCUCUGCCUUUCGAAGACGACUCCGGCUUUGUCCUCCUGCAGGGAAGAGCAUGCUCUUACGUUUGCAGACAGCAUUUGACAAAGUUCCACAUCAGAGAUCAAGGUCUUGGUAGAGAGAU
rnacentral:lncRNA from 10 species